rnacentral:tRNA from 1 species
AUUUUGUGAGCGGGUUUAUCGCAUUAAAUUUAGAAUUUAAAAUUACUUAUAGUACAAAAU